UAAGCCAGCUAGUGGUUUGCUCUUUAACCU
rnacentral:piRNA from 1 species